rnacentral:rRNA from 1 species
GCCUAAAGAUUAAGCCAUGCAUGUCUAAGUAUAAACGAUUUAAUCGUGAAACCGCGAAUGGCUCAUUAUAACAGCUAUAAUUUACUUGAUCUUGACACAAUCCUACUUGGAUAACUGUGGUAAUUCUAGAGCUAAUACAUGCAUUAAAGCUCUGACCUCACGGGAAGAGUGCAUUUAUUAGAACAAAACCAAGCGGCUUCGGCUGUUUCUGGUUGACUCAUAGUAACUGAGCUGAUCGCAUGGUCUUGCACCGGCGACGUGUCUUUCAAGUAUCUGCCGUAUCAACUUUCGAUGGUAGUGUAUCUGACUACCAUGGUGAUCACGCGUAACGGAGAAUAAGGGUUCGGCUCCGGAGAGUUCGCCUGAGAAAUCGCGAACACAUCUAAGGAAGGCAGCAGGCGCGAAAAUUACCCACUCUCAGCACGAGGAGGUAGUGACGAAAAAUAACGAGACCGUUCUCUUAUGAGGCCGGUCAUCGGAAUGG